rnacentral:rRNA from 1 species
CAACCUGGCGGGUGCUUACCAUGCAAGUGGCACGACGACCAGGGCUUGCCCUGGGGCAAAGCCGCGAACGGGUGAGUAACACGUGAGUAAUCUGCCCCGAUAACCGGGACAACCCGAGGAAACUCGGGCUAAUACCGGAUGUGGCGUACAGGCAUAAGCCUGUCCGUUAAAGGUAGCUUCGGCUUCUGUAUCGGGAGGGGCUCGCGGCCCAUUAGCUUGUUGGUGGGGUAAAGGCCUACCAAGGCAACGAUGGGUAGCUGGUCUGAGAGGACGAUCAGCCACACUGGGACUGAGACACGGCCCAGACUCCUACGGGGGGCAGCAGUGGGGAAUCUUGCGCAAUGCGCGAAAGCGUGACGCAGCAACGCCGCGUGAGGGAAGACGGCCUUCGGGUUGUAAACCUCUUUCAGGAGGGACGAAGGUUCGCCGGUGAAUAGCCGUGUGGAUUGACGGUACCUCCAGAAGAAGCUCCGGCUAACUACGUGCCAGCAGCCGCGGUAAU